UGGCUAAUUGGUGAGAGUCUA
rnacentral:siRNA from 1 species